rnacentral:lncRNA from 1 species
AGUUAUCUUAACCUUUUCUUCUUCCUCUUCCCCCUUCUCCUCCCCCUUCUUUUCUUCUUCUUUCUUCCUUCUUCUUCUUCUUCUUCUUCUUCUUCUUCUUCCCUGGCUUGCAGCUGUGCCCUCCUGUGCUGGCUGGGGAGGUGUAUUCCUAUGUGGAAGUCUCAUUUCUGUGUCUCAGCUUCUUAUGGAAAUGAGUUGGUUCGGUACAUGCUACCUUCCAAGGUUCUAGUCUCAUGACACUUCUUUGUGAUACUUCUGUUUAAUUGCAGGCCCUGCAAAUCUCCUUCUGUAGCUUUCUGUACAUGACUCCUUUCUGUACAUGCUUGGUCUGGAGACACUCAACGCUUCCACAUGCAUUGUUUACUUGUUUUCUAAAUAUUUUAGGAUUGAGAACCUACCUUGAGAUUUUUCUUAGGAUUAGAGACUAGUGUAGGGCAUACUUCCUUAGACACUGUAUAGGUACCUCUGCAUGGGGGCAUUCUUCUGACCCUGUCUUUCUAGCUGCAAGUAUCUUUGUUUUGUUUUGUAUUUUUAUAAAAUAAAAAUGAAGUAGUGCACACGCACAUUUUAGAAAACUGUAUUUAUUUACACCAACAUUUAAAAUUAAAAAGUAAAUUUACCAUUAUUUCACUACUCUGAGGAAAAUACAGUUAAUAUUUUGACAUUGAAGUGUUUUCUUUUCAGUUUUGUUUAUACGAUUUUUGAUUAUGUGGUAUUAACAUCUUUGAUGACUGAUUGUUCUUUAAUCAGUAAAGGAGUCUGUAAGCCCAUUUCCAAAUAUCCUGUUUCUUUUUAAACAAGGAUACCCUUAAACAUUUAUCCCAUUCGUUCUCAUCAGUGAAGCUGAACAAAUAAACAGCAAACAGCAAACAAAGGUCUCUGGAGGGUUACACAAGCCUUGCUCACCACAGCCCUGGCCCUUCUCAGCCAGCUUUCUCAGCUCCCAGGGGCGGCCUCUCCAGCCCCAAGACUUUCAGAAUAAAUGGUUUCUUUUUCUUCUCUGCCUGUCCUAGUUGGGAAGCUUCCCUAGACAUGAGCUCACGUUUUCUGAAAUUAGAAAAAACCUGCCUUGUAUAUAAGUGAUGCUCCAAACCAUGCUGAGAAGAGAAUUUUCCACAGGAUUAACUUUUGAUAUGAUGGGGAGAGAGAAUGUUCACCAAGUGGGCACAAAGGGGAGACUGACAGGGUUUCUUUCCUUGUAGGUUCUUGGGUCUUACAUUUCCUUUUAUUAAAUGCUGGAAGAUUCGUAUAUUUCUUUCUGCUAUGUAGAAUUACAGUUACAGUGGCAGAUUUGGUACGCAUUAAAGCAUUUCAACAAAGGUAGAAGCAUUUUUUAAAAAAAAAAAAAAUCAAACAUAAUGAAAUUUAUCCAGACAUGAACUUUUGAUUAAAGUGAUAAAUAUAAGAUAUAAAAUUGUUAUUAUAAAAUCUAUUUACAAGUCAUUCCAAGGAAGAGUGUCAUUAAAAUAUGUGCCCUGUGAAUACAAACAUUUUACUGAAGGGAAGGAUUAAUAAAGGGUCUAACACCAUGCCGAAUAAAAGUUUUUAACUUAUAAAUUAGAUAUAUUUUAUAUAUCUCAAUAACUACUCUUUCGCUUUCUCAUUAGAGGGAAUAGAGUAAGCAUCAUUUUAGAGAAUU